CCUACGGGAGGCAGCAGUAGGGAAUUUUGCGCAAUGGGCGAAAGCCUGACGCAGCAACGCCGCGUGAUCGAUACGCCUUUCGGGGUGUUAAGAUCCUUUAGUUGGGGCGGAACUUGACUGUACCUACAGAUGAAGCACCGGCUAACUCCGUGCCAGCAGCCGCGGUAAUACGGUGGUUGCAAGCGUUGUCCAGAAUCAUUGGGCGUAAAGAGUUCGUAGGCGGCACGUUAAGUCUGGUGUUAAAGGCAGAGGCUCAACUUCUGUACGGCAUUGGAUACUUGCGAGCUAGAGUGCGGUAGAGGUAAAGGGAAUUCCUGGUGUAGCGGUGAAAUGCUUAGAUAUCAGGAGGAACAUCAGUGGCGUAGGCGAUUUACUGGGCCGUAAUUGACGCUGAGGAACGAAAGCCAGGGUAGCAAAUGGGAUUAGAUACCCGAGUAGUC
rnacentral:rRNA from 1 species